GCCCGGAUGGCGGAACAGGUAGACGCAGCGGACUUAAAAUCCGCCGACCGCAAGGUCGUGCCGGUUCGAUCCCGGCUCCGGGCACCA
rnacentral:tRNA from 1 species